AAAAAGCAAAAAUAUAAGUUGAAGAAAUUACAAUCUAAUAUUCAUAGGUAAACAGGACUCAAUAUCAAUACUUGCAAGAAGGCAAACUGCUUCUUUAUUUCUAUUGGUUUUGAUAUUUUUUGAAAAAAUUCGCCACAAAAAUUUGCAAAUAAUUCAUUGACAAACAGUGCUAAAAAAUAAUGCUGCUGGCAGACUACAAUUUUCUAAUAUUACG
rnacentral:lncRNA from 1 species